ACCUACGGGGGGCAGCAGUGAGGAAUAUUGGUCAAUGGUCGGGAGACUGAACCAGCCAAGCCGCGUGAGGGAUGAAGGUACAGAGUAUCGUAAACCUCUUUUGUCAGGGAACAAAGGCGGGGACGUGUCCCCGGAUGAGUGUACCUGAAGAAAAAGCAUCGGCUAACUCCGUGCCAGCAGCCGCGGUAAUACGGAGGAUGCGAGCGUUAUCCGGAUUUAUUGGGUUUAAAGGGUGCGCAGGCGGUCUGUUAAGUCAGCGGGCAAAGCCCGGGGCUCAACCCCGGCCCGCCGUUGAAACUGGCAGG
rnacentral:rRNA from 1 species